rnacentral:antisense_RNA from 1 species
AGCGGGAGAUCCGAGCGUCUCGGCUGGUGGAAGGGGCGAGGAGCUUUGCAGUUGUGUGCGACUGUGUACAGGGACAGAGUCCUGAGCAAGGAAACCUAGAAGGGAGAGAGGAAUAACCAUGGAAUUGAGUCCUGUCUGGUAGCACUGACAGACACAGUGGCCAGCCACCCUCAUGCCACCCUGUCCUGCCAUGGGAAGGAACAGCAGCUCUAGAGUUCCUAUGGGAACUCUCUUUCCUUCUCACUGAACUCUAGCUUCAUCAAUAACUCAGUGCCUCUGGCCAAGUUUUUAGCCUCUGGGACAACAUCCACUAUAUCCAUAUGAGGCACUCAUGUAACACGGUGAUUAAGAGUACAGAUGCUGGAGCCAGCAGCCUAAGUCUGAAUCCUGACUGCCAAUUAUUAAUUUAAGUUGUGGAACCAUGGUCAAGUUACUCAACCUCUUUAUGCCUCUGUCUCCUGGUCUACGAAAUGAAGCUUUGAAUCUGCUGUUAUUAAGUUGCUGGUGCUGAAAUAACACUUAUUAUUUAUGGUCUAACUGAAAUGGGAACACUGGAAACUUCUUUGAAACUGAAGAAAAAAAUGAAAAAGAAGUUUUUACAAUCAAAACUGCCAUGAAGACUGCUUUACCCAAAAUUUUGGUCCACAGCUUUCAUUGAAUUACUUAUCAGGGCAAACAAAGUUUAGCCAUGUGAACACGUUCCAAUUUUGUUAGAAAUAAUUUGGAUCCAGCUAUCUUUAUACAAUGGUGAGUUCGUAUUGCAUCUCAUGGCUAAAAUACUGAGGUAAAGGCUUUUGGAUCUUUGUGUGUGUGUGUGUGCAUGUGACAAAAACAAGCAAUGGGGAAAGGAGUCCCUAUUUAAUAAAUGGUGUUGGGAGAACUGGCUAGCCAUAUGCAGAAAGUUGAAACUGGAGCCCCUCCUUAUACCAUAUACAAAAAUCAACUCAAGAUGAAUUAAAGACUUAAAUGUAAAAACCCAGACUAUAAAAACCCUAGAAGAAAAUCUAGGCAAUACCAUUCAGGACAUGGACACAGGCAAAUAUUUCAUGACAAAGAUGCCAAAAGCAGUAGCAACAAAAGCAAAAAUUGACAAAUGGAAUCUAAUUAAACUAAAGAGCUUCUGUACAGCAAAGAAAUUAUCAUCAGAGUGAACAGACAACUUACAGCAUGAGAGAAAAUUUUUGCAAUAUAUCCAUCUGACAAAGGUCUAAUAUCCAGCAUCUACAAGGAACUUAAACAAAUUUACAAGAAAAAAAAACAACGCCAUUAAAAAAUGGGCAAAGGACGUGGACAGACACUUCUCAAAAGAAGAAAUUUGUGUGGGCAAUGAACAUUUUUUUAAAAAAAGCUCAACACCACUAAUGAUUAGAGAAAUGCACAUGAAAACCACAAUGAGAUACCAUCUCACACCAGUCAGAAUGGCUAUUACUUAAAGGUCAAAAAACAACAGAUGAUAGCAAGGUUGUGAAGAAAAAUGAAUACUUUUAUACGUUGGUUGGAGUAUAAAUUAGUUCUACGCUUGUCGAAGACAGUGUGGUGAUUCCUCAAAGACCUAGGGGAAGAAAUAUCAUUUGACCCAGCAAUCUCAUUACUGGGUAUAUACCCAGAGGAAUAUAAAUCAUUCUAUUAUAAAGAUACAUGUGCAUGUUCAUUGCAAAAUAGCAAAAACAUGGAAUCAACCUAAAUGCUCAUCAAUGACAGACUUGAUAAAGGAAAUAUGGUACGUAUACACCAAGGAAUACCAUGCAGCCAUAAAAAGGAACAAGAUAAUGUGUUUUGCAGGGACCUGGAUGGAACCAGAAGCCAUUAUCCUCAGCAAAUUAAUGCAGGAACAGAAAAGCAAAUACCACAUGUUCUCACUUGUAAGUGGAAGCUGAAUGAUGAGAACACAUGGACACAUGGUGGGGAACAAUACACACUGGGGCCUGUUGCAGGGUGCGGAGUGGGAGGGAGAGCAUCGGGAAGAAUAGCUAAUGCAUGCUGGGCUUAAUACCUAGGGGAUGGAAUGAUCUGUGCAGCAAACCACUAUGGCACACAUUUACCUAUGUAACAAACCUACACAUCCUGCACAUGUACCUCUGACCUUAAAAUAAAAGUUGGAAAUAAAAAAAACCCUAAACAUACACCUAC